UUCGGAAGAUGAGUGGCGAACGGGUGAGUAAUACAUAGGUAACCUGCCCCUGUGCGGGGGAUAACAGGAGGAAACUCCUGCUAAUACCGCAUAGCCAUGAGCACCGCAUGGAGCUCAUGCCAAAUAUCCUUCAGGGGAUAGCGCAGGGAUGGACCUAUGGCGCAUUAGUUAGUUGGCGGGGCAACGGCCCACCAAGGCAACGAUGCGUAGCCGGCCUGAGAGGGCGGACGGCCACAUUGGGACUGAGACACGGCCCGGACUCCUACGGGAGGCAGCAGUAGGGAAUUUUCGGCAAUGGGGGAAACCCUGACCGAGCAACGCCGCGUGAGCGAAGAAGGCCUUCGGGUCGUAAAGCUCUGUUGUAAAGGAAGAACGUCGCAUGCAGGAAAUGGUGUGCGAGUGACGGUACUUUACCAGAAAGCCACGGCUAACUACGUGCCAGCAGCCGCGGUAAUACGUAGGUGGCGAGCGUUAUCCGGAAUCAUUGGGCGUAAAGAGGGAGCAGGCGGCCGCAAGGGUCUGUGGUGAAAGACCGAAGCUAAACUUCGGAA
rnacentral:rRNA from 1 species